rnacentral:rRNA from 1 species
AGAGUUUGAUCCUGGCUCAGAACGAACGCUGGCGGCGUGCCUAACACAUGCAAGUCGAACGKRAUUGAGRRGCUUGCUCUYCAWKWWAGUGGCGCACGGGUGAGUAACGCGUAGAUAAUCURCCUGAUGAUCYGGGAUAACACUUCGAAAGRGGUGCUAAUACCKGAUAAGCCCACGGRGUCUUYGGACUCUGCGGGAAAAGGGGGGGGACCUUYGGGCCUUCYGUCAUCAGAUGAGUCUGCGUACCAUUAGCUAGUUGGUAGGGUAAWGGCCUACCAAGGCKACGAUGGUUAGCUGGUCUGAGAGGAUGAUCAGCCACACUGGAACUGAGACACGGUCCAGACUCCUACGGGAGGCAGCAGUGAGGAAUCUUGCGCAAUGGGGGAAACCCUGACGCAGCAACGCCGCGUGAGUGAGGAAGGUCUUCGGAUCGUAAAGCUCUGUCGGAUGGAAAGAACCGCAUAGGGGUAAACAGCUCCUAUGUCUGACGGUACCAUCAAAGGAAGCACCGGCUAACUCCGUGCCAGCAGCCGCGGUAAUACGGGGGGUGCAAGCGUUGUUCGGAAUUAUUGGGCGUAAAGAGCGUGUAGGCGGCCUGAUGUGUCAGAUGUGAAAGCCCUGGGCUUAACCCAGGAAGUGCAUUUGAAACUGUCAGGCUUGAGUAGGGGAGAGGGAAGUGGAAUUCCUGGUGUAGAGGUGAAAUUCGUAGAUAUCAGGAGGAACACCGGUGGCGAAGGCGACUUCCUGGCCCUAUACUGACGCUGAGACGCGAGAGCGUGGGUAGCAAACAGGAUUAGAUACCCUGGUAGUCC